AAAAACUUCAAAGAUUACAGCAAUUUUUUUGGUAGUACCACUACUAUAAAAGCAGCCUCUUGUUUUAUAUUUAUUGCAUUAACAACAUCACUCAAAUUCCUUUUUAGUCUUUGUCACCCUUGGUGGUUUUAAUUAAUCAAGAAGAAAAUGAUGGGAUUUGAGAGAUUGAUGGUGAAUUUGAAGACGAAACUGAGGAGGUCCUUUAAAAUGAAGGAAUCAUACGACAAGAUUGAGAAGAGUGAAAGCAUGAGAGUGGAGAUUAGGAGCAAGAAGGCUCGUAAGCUUAUUGAACAGACUCUUAAAAUUGCUGAUUCCCCCAAAUCCCGAAACUAUCCUUUCUAGUAAUCUGUUUAGUAUCUUGUAAUGACAAAAUUAAUCCCAACUUUCAUAAGAAAUCAAAUUAUAUGCAGAAGUUUAGUGGAAUCUCUAUCUUCUUCUCAUUCUAA